rnacentral:rRNA from 1 species
GAUGAACGCUGGCGGCGUGCUUAACACAUGCAAGUCGAACGAAGCACUUUAUUUGAUUUCCUUCGGGACUGAUUAUUUUGUGACUGAGUGGCGGACGGGUGAGUAACGCGUGGGUAACCUGCCUUGUACAGGGGGAUAACAGUUGGAAACGGCUGCUAAUACCGCAUAAGCGCACAGCAUCGCAUGAUGCAGUGUGAAAAACUCCGGUGGUAUAAGAUGGACCCGCGUUGGAUUAGCUAGUUGGUGAGGUAACGGCCCACCAAGGCGACGAUCCAUAGCCGAGCUGAGAGGGUGACCGGCCACAUUGGGACUGAGACACAGCCCAAACUCCUACGGGAGGCAGCAGUGGGGAAUAUUGCACAAUGGGCGAAAGCCUGAUGCAGCGACGCCGCGUGAGCGAAGAAGUAUUUCGGUAUGUAAAGCUCUAUCAGCAGGGAAGAUAAUGACGGUACCUGACUAAGAAGCACCGGCUAAAUACGUG